rnacentral:rRNA from 1 species
UACGAAGGGGGCGAGCGUUGUUCGGAAUUACUGGGCGUAAAGCGCACGUAGGCGGCUUUGUAAGUUAGAGGUGAAAGCCCGGGGCUCAACCCCGGAAUAGCCUUUAAGACUGCAUCGCUUGAACGUCGGAGAGGUGAGUGGAAUUCCGAGUGUAGAGGUGAAAUUCGUAGAUAUUCGGAAGAACACCAGUGGCGAAGGCGGCUCACUGGACGACUGUUGACGCUGAGGUGCGAAAGCGUGGGGAGCAAACAGG